rnacentral:rRNA from 1 species
GGCGUCAGGACGAACGCUGGCGGCGUGCUUCAUACAUGCAAGUCGAACGAGAAUCUCACUUCGGUGAGAGGAAAGUGGCGGACGGGUGAGUAAUGUGUAGAGAAUCUGCCCUAGAGUGAGGGACAACAGAGGGAAACUUCUGCUAAUACCUCAUAUGCGCGUAGCUGAGAUGCUAUUCGUGAAAACUCCGGUGCUCUGGGAUGAGUCUGCAUCUGAUUAGCUAGUUGGGGGUGUAAUGGACCACCAAGGCGACGAUCAGUAGCUGGUUUGAGAGGAUGAUCAGCCACAAUGGGACUGAGACACGGCCCAUACUCCUACGGGAGGCAGCAGUAGGGAAUUUUGCGCAAUGGGGGGAAACCCUGACGCAGCAACGCCGCGUGAACGAAAAAGCCCUUCGGGGUGUAAAGUUCUGUCAGUGGGGACGAAACUUGACGGUACCCACAGAGGAAGCAUCGGCUAACUCCGUGCCAGCCGCCGC